GGUUGACCGCUUCAGACCAGCCUCAGGCACGCAGUUGGUGAACAAUGAAACAUCAAGAGUGUGCACCCUUGGGACUGGAGAGAUGGCGCUGCACUUAGGAGCACUUGGACCGGAACUAGGUUUGGGCACCAGUACCUAAGUGGCUGGUGCACAUGCAUGUGCGUAAAACACUCAUGCAUAAAAGAAAAGUAAAUAUAUAUAGUUUUAAAGUGCAGCUCUGGGACAGAUUGAUCCACAGUGAUCACAGGUGACCCAAAUAUCCCCAAGCCCAGAACUCCCGUGGGCGGAUUCCUAUACUCUGGACUCCUAGCGGCAGAUAACUGUUCCCUAGGUUCCUGUGGGUGGAUGAGCCUGGUAAAAGGAGGCAUUGUGGUACCUGGUGGAAUUCUCAUGGGAGAUGGGAUCGGGAAGACCUAUAGUCAGUACAACGGUUUAGAGGAUGGUCUGCAGAGUCUCGCCGUUUGAUUUCCAACCUGCAACCAUUCAGUGUGAUAAUUUCCAAUUAACAUUUCUAGCCGACUUCCCAUAUCUCCCUUAGAGGGCUGCUGUGAGGAUUAGAAGAGACCUUCAGGACAGGGUCUGGAACAGCCUCCUCCCUCGGCCAAAUCUGUGCAGUGUUGGGAGCUUUGGGGGUGGGGGCAGUGAUUUGGUUAACGAAGGGUCAGAGAAAGUGGUGACAACUGGAAACAAACACAGUUCACAGCCUUGCCCUCACUCUCUUCCCCUUCCUGUUCCUUCCACAUCCUUCAUCACCUUCCUUUUCCUAGCAAUAUAGUGGCUCCAGCUCUCCCUCAUUCUCUUCCCAGCCACCUCCUCGAGAUCUCCCUGCACUCUCCCUCACCUUCCUCCCUGCCUUCCCCUAGACCUGGGCCUUGCUCCUCUGUCAGAGUUUCAUGGUUUUGCGCUUGUUAAACCCCAGGAGUAUUCAGUGCCGGCCACACAGCUGGGAAAAUUACAGCCUCAGCUCUGUUGCCUUCUGUCGUUAGCCUCCCCUUUUCCCCGACUUAGCUGCUCCCAUGUGGUGUGAUUUCUCUCACCAAGUGUUGUUUUCCUUUUCUCUGCCUGUGUUUGCACGGAGUGCCACAGAUUUGAUAUAGUGAUUGCCUAACACAUAUACCACAUAAUAGUAUUUUAUUUCUUUCAGAAGCACUGUUUGCAUGACAAAUGAGUUGGUAACAUUUGAGCAACUCCUUGCAGCUGUGCAGCUCAAUAUCCGAAGCACAAGCCUUUCGGCAUCGGUGUUGGCCGAGUCAUUCUAAGAGCGUGAGAAACGGACGCUCAAAGUGAACGCUGUGGCGUCUCACAGUCCUGUCUGUUUCACUGCAGUGGAUCUGAGGGUGUUUGGAAAUCAUGGACAGUUCUGGGGCCACCCCCAGGGGUAGUACACCAUGAAGGCUUCCGCUGUACCCUCUCUUGCACACACCUAGGACCAAAAAUUGACCUCCCUCUGGCCUCGAGCUCAGUGGUAGCCACCUUGGCUUGCCCUUUGCCUCCUUGGGUGGCUUCUGGCUUUGUCUUCUGCCUCUUGUGGUCCUAAGCGUAGUGUAUCAGCAGGCCCCCCGCACUAGCCACUUACCCAGGAUCUGCCCCUCAGGUCCUCUUCUCCAUCCCUCAGAAAGAGCCUUGGGCAACCCCUGUUUCUCUGAAUUCCCUCUUUCUGUUCUUUCUGGGGGUUUAGACCACUGUGGCCCUCCAUGGUUCUCAUCCCUAAGACUUACUCAGUCAGGUAGAAUUGCUGGACGGUGUCCACACAUCCCCCUGAAGGAACGCAGCCUCUGUGUUUCUUAGCCCCCUCUGCCCCUUGUCCUGUCAGACUCCCAAGGGGUCUGCCUGGCAUGGAAGGCAUGUGUAACAAAAUGGUAGUAGCUCAGGGUCGCUGACUGCUAGCCAGCUUUACUUAUCAUUGUGCGCGCGCGCCUGUGUGUGUGUACAUCAGUUCAUAAGAGUGAAUUGUGUAAAUGUGUAACCGAGUGUCCACAUGUAAGUGUGUGAGUGUGUCUGUGUAGUGUGCAUUGCACAGUGUGUGUGCAAGGUGCACGGCCCUAGCUGUGCCCAGUCUUCUUGACUUAUUAAAGGCAGGGAGGAAAGACAAAAUGUUGAGCCUGUCUCUGUUUAUAACACAGUAGCAGCAGAGGUGAUGAGCUGUUGGAGCCCUCUGGGUCCCUGGAAGCCCAUCACAUCUCGCUGCUCCCCUCCUGCUAGCCUCUUCCCGUUUCGAUGGAGCCCCACAGUAACAACGGUCAUAAAUCUUUCAUGGUUCCAUUCUCUCCGUCCUCUCCCCGCUAGGAAACCUCGCAAUGCCCAGAGUACAUUCUUGACCCACAUCGUUGGGGACCUCAGGUGACCUGAGCUUCCUUUGAGCCACGUGAUAGUGGCACCCACAGGGGGUGUGUGGGGGUGCUGGGAGAGCGCAGUCAAAAAUGGGGCUCAGAUUCCACUGGCAUGUCUUCUGGUGGACCUCACUUCUUAUCUCGGUGCCUUGGUACAAGAGGAGCCGCCUUCCCGCUCUCUCCCAGUCUGUGGGUCCAGGGAGGAGGUAAACAGAGUCACAGGGAAAUGCCCGGAACAGGUCAGUGGGCUGCUGUGCCACUUGCUUGGCACAUUCUCUCGGGAAUUGAAUGACAAGCUGCCCCUCUGGACCACACAUUGGUGUCUGAGGGUGAGCCUCUCUCCCGAGGCACAGAACGUGUUACCCAUGUCAGUAACUGAUUGUGUCUGAAGGAAACCGCAGCUUCCAGAGUGCUUUCUUUGGGGCUUUGUCCAUGAUUAGGUGAUGCUAAAUUAUAGAGGACGGAUACCAAGCAAUUACACUCUGCGUUUAACUCUUCAGCCUCAUGGCUAAUCUGUGUACCGCGGUAAUUAGGAAAUCCCACCAGUGUGGUUAUGGAGAAAGCGUCUCAUCCUCUCCACCUUGUAAGGCCGGGCUCAGGUCACCCGGCUAUUAUCCAGGUCCUGUGUCAAGAACAAGCCUGCCUACCAGGGGCCAAUCUCCUCCCAGCCACCUUAAAUCACUGUGCGGUUCCUGCACAUGGUGCUCUAUAAAUCUCUAGAAGGGAGGGAGGGUCAGGGCCCUGGUGACUCUGGGCCCUCUGGUUCUUUCCCCUAGUUGGUUCCUUGCGCACACAUGGUGGAGUGCGUGUGUUCACGUUGUGUGUGACAGUGGCGCGCUUGGCAGGCAGACGAGUCAGACCAGUCUGCCUGCCCAGAGCUCCAGGGAUCCUCCCGUCUCCAGCACAGGGAAGACAGCUGAACAGGACUGUGCCCAAGCCCCUGGCCCCUGAUUUUUAAAAGUGUGUGUGUGGCGGGGGGUAGUUGCUAAUAGAGUAAUAGAGGCCCAAAGAGGGCGUCAGAUCCUCCUAGAGCUAGAGUCACAGAUGGUUAUAAACUGUCCGUUGAGAACUAAAUUAGGUCCUUUGAGGGCAAUGCAGGUGUUUAACUGAUGAGCUCUCUCCAGUCCCAAUACUAAAGACUUUUUUUUUUGGACACCAGCACUGUGCCUCACUUCUCUUGCUCUCGGAAAGUGCCAUCACUUCAUCUUGGUUCAGCUUGGAUCCUCCCUGCCCUUCCCACAAUUUUCAUUACUUCCUGGGUCCAUGAGCAUCCUGCAGGCAGUCAAGUCCUAAGACAUGGAGGAACUUGGUCACAAAGCAAACAAACAACCCCACUCAUCUGAUCAGACCAUGAAUGACAAAAGAACAGGAGGGGCAGGAAGCCGGAGCUGGCAGGCCUCACCUACAUUGGCCUCGAGUCCCCAGUGGGGUCAAUUACCAAGAACUCCCAAGGGCUGGCUGUAGGGUGGGGACAGCACACACUAGCUGCCUGCUCCUUCUGAAUGAACCCCUACAUUUCUGCAGAGACAGCAGCACCGCAUCCCCCAGGGGCUGAACUCCACCAACCAACUCGCAGCUUAAAAAUUACUAAUAAGAGAAUUCUAAAAGACUUCCUGUGGCAAAGGCACCGGGGAAUUGUGGUCCUUUCCCCAAGCAAGUCUGCUUCCCAAACCUCGGGAACUUAGGACCAAACUCUGAAGGGCACCAAUUCCCUGCCUAAUGCCCAGGGGAUGGAACCUCUCUCCCUUCUAGUGAAAGGAGACAUGGUCUUGCCAUAGGGCAGAGGCUGGAGGGAAGCUGUAGGAAAUGACGUUCCUUGCCUAGAAUGCCAGAGCCUCUUGUUCUUCAGCGUUUGGACGAACUCGGCAGAUGAGAGCUAGGGAGCCGGGAUGGGUGAGCCGGAGUCUGGCUGCAGGCCACCUGGAGGGCAAAUCUUGACAUCAGUCCCAGACACUCACGGCUGCUCUGAGGGAAGUGAAGAUCCGCGAAGACUCGAGACCCACGAGAGUUGCGCAGUGAGCUGUACCAGCAAGCCAAGCUCUGUCUCCACAGCCCCAUGGAGUCCUAUUUACACCCUCCAAACGUCACGUGUCCUCUACGUGCCUUGCCUCAGCACGUGCAUCCCAUCAGCCUGAGUCUGAGGACGUGGCGACAAAUGGCAGUACACCACCAGAAGUUUAUUGGGGCAUGCGUUUCUCUCUGUGGAGUCCUGAGACAUGCAGCUCAACCAUGCAGUGGACCAGGAGAUGUAAUUAGUAGUGGUUUGUCAGACAAGAUCCAGCUUUGCAAAACUAACCGGAGCAGACCUUGAACCAGGCAAGGCGAAAGGAGGCGAGAUUUCAAUUUGCAAAAUGAAUGGGGAAAAAAAACAAACCAAUCGGAAGCAGGGGGAAACUAAUUUCAACGGCAGGGUGGAUGGAGGUCAGCCUGGUUUAAGCCACAGAGACACCACCCUCUUGUGCUGAGUCCAGCGACAUGGCCUCCCUCGGCAGCCCUUUGGGGGCGGGGGCUGGUACUUUUCCGGCUGCCUGGCGGUUGUUCACACUCCCAUUCGUGCUGGAGCAGUCAACUGUGAAAUAAGCCGUUAGCCAGCAAGUAAGGCCCCUGCUGAGUGUCCUCAGGACAGUGCUCCAGCCAUCUCCUGCCGGUCAAGCGCUGAGCUGGAAAGAUAACUUCUCUUCAGUUUCCCCAGAAGCUCCUCAAGAGAGAGUUCAGGUGCAUGAGGCAGCAUCUCCAUCAACAGUAGGGUCCCCGUGCAGCCUGGAGGCCAAGGCACAAAAGGACUAGAGGUUUGUCAUCUAAGAGGGGCAACCCCACAACUGUCUGCCCAGGAGAUGUGUGGCACCGUAACUGUGACCCGAGUCACGCCCACUCGAGGCUGCUGACUGCCGCCAUUUCUACAACGUGCAUCAUAGGUGUGUUCUGAGUAAAGUCAGCCACCCCACAGGCUGAGCUCCCCUCCGUCUAAAGGUUGGGAAACUGAGGCACAAUGAAUAAUCCAACCACAAGACCUCCUCUUCAUUCAAGGGUUAAGGCCGGAAGUGGCUAGGAAGGAAGGUGCCAGUGAGGUGAGGCUUCCGGGGACAUUGGGAUCACACACAGGUCCAGGGAGCAGCCUGGGAUGGAUGUGUCCCAGCAGUGUAGGCCAAGUAUGGGUCUCUUAGGGCCUGAGCCAAGGAUUUAGACUUUGUGUUUUGUAGAUGGCACAGAGAUCCUGUGCUCACAGACGAGCGCACGGGGACGUUAAACACACAGCAUUGCUCCUUCAGAGAGAGAUGCAUGACCUGUUUUCCUCCCAGAAGGCUGGGAUGGAUGUGGUUAACAUCUGGUGCCUCUGAGCUGUCUGCACGGCUAGGCCACACCGGCUUCCCCAGACCCUAACUACGAGCCGUUGACCUAGAGCCUGCUUUCCCAGUUUAUCUACAGAAGCCAUCUUUAUGGAAACUGUAACUUGUACUUUACACAAUGCGGCCAUGUCUCAAGCUUCGUUGUGCACACAGGGUUGAGUUAAUUAUCACUGGGAAAUGGUUCCCAAGUUGUGCUGGGCUUAAAUAUGCCUGAAAUAAACUGCCUGGUGCAGACUCUCAAGGUUUGAACUAACCACGCAACUGGGUCAUGAUGAGCAGGAAUUCUUUCUCAGCUCAUGAGGACAGGCACUCUGCUGGCCGUGGCAUUCGCAGAGACCGCCAACCAAUCAGGAAUCCUGUGACCAUUUAUGUUGUGGUGAAAAUUAAAAAGGAGCAGAACCGGUUCCCAAGCAGGCCUCGUCCUGUCCUUUACCUGCCUUCACCUGCAUAAUGAUAUCAACUUACAUAUCCAUAGCGUCUGUUCAGUUUUGUUUGUCUGGUUGGAGAUAGGGUCUUGCCAUGUAGCCCAGGCUAGCUUUGGAUGUACUAUGUAGACAAGGAUGACCUUGAAUUCCUCCACUACCCAAGUGCUGUGGUUGCAGGCUGGUCCUACUAGAGACACACUGAGUGUUCAGUGGUCUGGAAAGCACCAUCUGGGUGGGGCUCACUCUGCUAAUGAAAGAGACACUGAGGAAAGUUCUGGAAAUGCCUGGCCCCAUAGUGAAUCCUCCCGCCUCAGCUUUCCAAGCGUUGGGAAUGUCAAUGAAGCCUAACAGGCUUUUACAGUGGCCUGAAGAACCAGAGCUGGAAGCAACAGGGCUGGCCAUUAAGUGAGCGCGGCUGGGUCUCAGUGGACCUUCACUUACGGGUACAGAAACUGAAAGCACGCGCCAGCCAUCUUACAAGAGCACAGACCAGCCGUGGUGGCUCACACCUGGACUUUAAUAGCCAAGGGAUCGAGACAGGGGGUUUCAAGUUCAAGGCUAGCCCGGGUAAAACUAAGUGAGACCCUGUUUCAAAAACAACAACAAAAAAAUGGAGCCGUGGGAUGCUUGUCACCUCAGCACUGGGAAGGGAGAGGCAAGGAGAUCUUUGGGGGUCCAAGGUAACUCCAGCUACAUAGGAAGUCUGAGGUCAGCCCAAACUUGAGACCUCCAUUCUAUCCCCAAGCCAGAGAUGAGGAAAAGUGGAGACUGCACUCACCCAGCACCUAUGAGGCCUAAGGUCUAACCCUCGCUACUAUCAAGAAAACAGUGGGUGGCAGGUUCUGGGUUAAGUGUUGUGGUUUGAAUGAGAGAUGACCCUCAUGGGCUAAGACAUCGGACCUUCAGUCUCUAUCGGUGGCACUGUUUGGGGAGGUUUAGGGGGUGCAGCCUUGCUGGAAGAGGAGCCUGGGGGGGCGUUGUUUUCAGUCUAUGUGCUUUGUGCUUCUUGCCAUCGUGCCCCUGCCUCUCCAUGGCAGACUCACCCCUCUGGAAUCCAUUAGCAAAAUAAACUCUUCUUCUCCAGAA